rnacentral:rRNA from 1 species
GUCUUUUUGAUAAUAAUUUAAAGUCUAGCCUGCUCAAUGAAUUUUUAAAUAGCUGCGGUAUUUUGACCGUACAAAGGUAGCAUAAUCAAUAGUUUUUUAAUUGAAAACUGGAAUGAAGGGUUGGAUAAAAAAAUGACUGUUUCAAUUUAAUUUUAUUAAAAUUUUAUUUUUAAGUUAAAAAGCUUAAAUUUAUUUAAAAGACGAGAAGACCCUAUAGAGUUUUAUUGUUUUAAAAAAAUAUAAUUUUAGAAUUCAUUUUUCUUUUUGAUUAAAACAAUUGAGUUGGGGUGACUAAUAAAUUUAAUAAACUUUAUAAUUUUAUUUCAAAAAUUUUUGUAUUGUUGAUCCAAUUUUUUUGAUUAAAAGUUUAAAUUACCUUAGGGAUAACAGCGUAAUUUAUUUUAAGAGUUCUAAUCAACAAAUAAGAUUGCGACCUCGAUGUUGGAUUAAAAUAAACUUUUGGUGUAGAAGCUAAAAUGUUGGGUCUGUUCGACCUUUAAAAUUUUACA